rnacentral:rRNA from 1 species
GACGAACGCUGGCGGCGUGCUUAACACAUGCAAGUCGAACGGUGAAGCGAGUGCUUGCACUCGUGGAUCAGUGGCGAACGGGUGAGUAACACGUGAGUAACCUGCCCAUCACUCUGGGAUAAGCACUGGAAACGGUGUCUAAUACUGGAUACGACCAACCCUUGCAUGGGGUGUUGGUGGAAAGAUUUAUCGGUGAUGGAUGGACUCGCGGCCUAUCAGCUUGUUGGCGGGGUAAUGGCCCACCAAGGCGACGACGGGUAGCCGGCCUGAGAGGGUGACCGGCCACACUGGGACUGAGACACGGCCCAGACUCCUACGGGAGGCAGCAGUGGGGAAUAUUGCACAAGGGGCGAAAGCCUGAUGCAGCGACGCCGCGUGAGGGAUGACGGCCUUCGGGUUGUAAACCUCUUUCAGCAGGGAAGAAGCGAAAGUGACGGUACCUGCAGAAGAAGCACCGGCUAACUACGUG